UACGGAGGAUGCAAGCGUUAUCCGGAAUGAUUGGGCGUAAAGCGUCCGCAGGUGGCACUUCACGUCUUCUGUUAAAUACUAGGACUCAACCCUGGAGCGGCAGGGGAAACUGAAGAGCUAGAGUUCGGUAGGGGUAGAGGGAAUUCCCAGUGUAGCGGUGAAAUGCGUAGAGAUUGGGAAGAACACCGGUGGCGAAGGCGCUCUGCUGGGCCGAAACUGACACUCAUGGACGAAAGCUAGGGUAGCGAAUGGG
rnacentral:rRNA from 1 species